AAGGAAACAAGACUGACAGUUUGUGGGGGAAGGGCCAACUGGGAGUGGCAGUUGGGUCUUGUGACUAGCACUUCCUUCCUGCCCAGUGGGACUGACUUCCGGGUAUUGGAGGAGGAAGGAGCUUGUUCAGCCCGGUCUGGUGUGGUGUGCCGCCUCUUCUUGGUUCAGCCCGAAGAUUCAGGCCCAUUCAUCUCUGAAGGUUCCAUCCUUAUCUCAUCCUUUCAUAUGAGAUGUUUUGGAAAUUCACCAUGGCAGAAUUUCCAGUGGGAUAUGAAGGAAAUGGAAAACCCAAAGACUUCUCCUUGCCCACUGCUUCACCAUUCUGACAUUGCUCUGAGCGUAGUUUUUUUCCUUAUCCAUAAUAUUUCUGUAGUUUACCUUUCUUUCCAUCAGUUUCUCUUUUAAAGUUGUAGGGUUUUUUUGGAGUAUGAUUUAUUCA
rnacentral:lncRNA from 1 species